rnacentral:lncRNA from 1 species
CAGCAACAUUUAAAAUAAACAGACACAAUGAGAACAAUGUCAACAGAACCCAGCGUUUUCUAGGUGUGUGUCAGGGACUGACCAGGCGCACUAAGCGGAAAGCAAGGACCACGUUUUCAGGACGAGGCUCUGUGCUGCUUCCAGAUUUGGAGCGCAGCUGGAAGAUGCCAUCUGCACCACAGGCAGUCCUGCAUGGGGGACAUUCGGCCGGCUGGUAUGCACAACAGGACGGCAGAUGUGGUUUCCGGGAAACCUGGGCCCAGAAUGCCCCCCGGCACGUCUCCUGGCAGCAGAUAUUAUUUUUCCAAACAUUGAACUACUUGGGGGCAUAUCUGAACACCGAACUUUUCCAAAGCUCCUGAAGGCCGGCAGAUUUCCUCGCCUGUGUUUCUGUGAAAGCCGUUGUGGGAUCCCCGGGAGCGUGCAGGGGGGAACCGGAAGCAGAGAUGACAGAGGUGUGGGCCGCGCCUGGUGGGAAAGGGUCCAGGCAGAUCAGCGGUAUCUCGGGACGUAGGAAGCCUUUCUUUUGGGGCUCUUGGGCUCUGAGGGUGUGGAAUCCAGGAAGAAAGCCGAACUCGGGGGCAGGGGCACCCUCGGGGCACCCGGUCGCUGACCAAGGCUCCGUCAAACAGAAUCGGGAAAUGCUGUCCGGCUGAGGCACCGCCAGACCCUUAGCUUGUCUGAUCUGCCCGCUCUGGCCUGCACAGUGCACUGCUCCUCUCUUA